CUCCGCGAGGGUCCCUGCUGCCGCCGCUCCCUCACCCAGGCGCGCCCCCAAUCCUCGUGCCCAGCUCGGAUUUCUGUCGUCGCCGCUCCCUCCUCCCCCAGACGCCCCCCCAAUCCCGUCGGCGACCCUCGUGCCGUCCCAUCGGCCGCCGCCGCUCUCCUAUCCCCCGGACGCGCCCCCAAUCUCGGCGCCGCACUACCCUCAUCCCGGCGCGUCUCGGCCUCCCGUCGGCGACCCUCGCGCCGUCCCGGACGUUGCGCUGCGCCGCCGGUAACCGCCCCGACGAGGACGUCCGCCCGUCCUCACGAGCUGCGGCGCGCGAGCGCUGGCAGGAGGUCGGCGUGGCGAGGGCCAGGCGCGGGUGGCGCGAGGCGGGUCCAGGCGGCUUAGCACUUAGCAGCGGCCAGCCAUGGCGGCAAGCACCAUCAUGGGAGGUAACCCCCUAGUUCUCGUGUGCUGAUCCGUCUCCCCCCGCGCAUGGCGGUAUGGCGGUGCUUCAUCAGCCAGACCCAUGGCUGGAUCUCGAGUGGAUUGGAGGAGGGCAGCAGGUCUGGCAGCUCCCUGCUCCACUCUCCUAACCCUGCUCCUAUUCUGCUCAUGUGUUCACCUCGAAAACCCCUAGAUCCCCUUUUGCAGCUGGCUCCAAAUUGAGUGGAGGCUACCAUACGGAGCAGUAUGCCUUGGCACAAUUCCAGAUCGGAGCGGAGAGUCCUUGCCUUCAAUCGCCAUCAGGAAAGGUCCAAAUCUCUCGCGAAUGCGACUACCUUCCAGUCUCAACGGCGACCUCGAAUCUGUUCCCCUGCGUCGGCUGGCGGCAUCCAUCCACCUGGGGCUUCAUUGUUGCGUUGCAGUGGCCGUAUUUCGUACUGGUGGCCCCGUCAAUCACCAUCCCCGUAGAGGAGGCAGGAUCCUACGGUGAGCUGCCGCAAAUAGGCAAUGAGACUUGGGGAAAUACCAAGUAGCAUUACUAGUGCACCUACAUUUGAGAGCAGGACUGGUAAGGCACAUGCCCUAAUAUGAUGCCCAGGCUCAGGUGCUGUCGGCCGAUUCAAGUUCUUUCAUUGCCAAUUCGAGACCAUCCGCGCCGAUUCAUCAUCCUCCACAUGAGGUCCUCCCCCACUCAAGCUGAUUUCCCAGCCAUCACCCCAACGUCUGCUCAAUCUUGGAUAUAUCGUUGGUAUUUCCCCCACCGGCGCAAGGGUGUUGGUGGGGGAAUACCUAUUCAGAUAACUAGAGCUAUAUUAAUUGAUGGCGUAAUGUCUUAAAAAUUGAUGGCUUUGUGGUGCACAAUUGAUCUAAUACUCUUCAUAUUUCAGUAACAUAGAAGUACAACAAUUACCUUGCCAUGCUGAUUUUUUGUACAGUAAUAUAGAUGUGUCAGUAGAACAUUCUUGUAAUAACUAUUUGCUAGCACUAGGGGGUUACUCUUUUGUUUUGAUGCACUUGAACAAAUUUUCUCUCUCAACACUAGCAUGGUAUCCUAAUCAGAGCUAAGUUCCAUUGUUUUUUACCACCUGGUAUUUGUUCACCCACGGGAUGCUGAAUUGCUAAUUAGAUUUGCUUAUCGAAAUUUGGUGGUAGGUAUAGGUGACAAUCUAGAAGGAGUGAAGGCUUCCUCAAGAAAUGGGCGCAACCAAGGGUUUGUCAAACUGGCUUACAGAGGCGCUACUGCUUUGUGGCACUGAGGCAACACAUCGAGUCAAAUUAUGAAUUAUAAAAUUUUUCAUGAUAAAGAGUCUUCUCUUUGGUCGAUAUGAAUUCUGGUUGCCACGGCACUGCUGUCCCUCCUGUAGCAUAGCACACUUUUUUUUGGUAACGAAUCCAAUAUUUAGUGCACCAGAUAUUCACUGGACGACCAUAUUAGCCAAAUUUUCUGCAAUAUUUAUUAAUUAAACAUUUAUGUUUUGGAUUGAAAACCAUUCAGCCAUGUGCAGAACGGCAAAGAACAUCCCACUUCGAACGGAAAAGUUUGACUUCAAUCAUAAAUACUCUGUUUUUAAUUGUAGGGCAUUGUUUGAAAUAAAAAAAUCUAAGAAUUUUAAUUAGGAAGACUCAUUUUUUGUGGCAAAUUAAUAUAUAAGCCAUUUAACCUCCAUUUGAAGCGAUUGCUUUUCUUUUACUCGUGUUGUGUUCUUUUAUUUAAUUCGUUCUUUGACUGGUGCUUUCUGUUUGGUUGCUAAACGUAAAUUAAUGUGGAUGGUUGACCCAAGCGGGACCACAAGUUCCAACGAGGCAGCGCUCGGGGGAAAAAAAACGCAAACCACAUGGACCAAGAGAGCAGCACGAAAAAAAAAA